ACCGCUCAUUUGAACACAAGGCGAACCUACGCCCGUGUAGACAAAGACAACGGCAGGGCGGGUCUGUUCAUCGCCGCCGCCAUGGGAACCUUCGCUCUGAUGGCCGCAGUCUACUGUAUCUACGACAAGUUCUACACCAAACAGCAGUACCUGCACACGCAGCUCAACGACGACUCAGAUGGACGCAGAAAACAAAAAGGAAUCGGACAGUGAGACCUGUCCGUGAUGAAGCUGAAGACCGUCUCCUCAUCAUCAGACACAGAGGGGAGACUUCCAGAGGAGACUGGAGCGCUCAGCAUCUGUCUGCUCACUCGUCUCUCGGGUAUCAUUCGUUGUAAAGCAUCACUGGCAGGCUGGUUUAUUAACAACAUCAGCAGGCUGCAUUGCCUGUUUGCCGUGAUUGUAGAAAUACAACAGCGAAU
ensembl:lncRNA